rfam:Triticum aestivum genome assembly, contig: Triticum_aestivum_CS42_TGACv1_scaffold_577056_7BL
AAAACUAGUCAGUCCUUUGGGUAUGAAACCCAUUUGGACGAGAGUAGUACUAGGAUGGGUGACCUCCUGGGAAGUCCUCGUGAAAGGGUUUC